rnacentral:rRNA from 1 species
CAGCCGCCGCGGUAAUACCGGCGGCCCGAGUGGCGGUCACUAUUAUUGGGCUUAAAGCGUCCGUAGCCGGGUUGGGAAGUCCUCCGGGAAAUCUGGCCGCUUAAAGGUCAGAAUGCCGGAGGAUACUCCCAGCCUAGGGGGCGGGAGAGGCCGAGGGGAUUCCCGGGGUAGGGGUGAAAUCCUAUAAUCCCGGGAGGACCACCUGUGGCGAAGGCGCUCGGCUGGAACGCGUCCGACGGUGAGGGACGAAGGCCAGGGGAGCAAACCGGAUUAGAUACCCGGGUAGUCCUGGCUGUAAACGAUGCGGACUUUGUGUCGGACAAGCUAUGAGCUUGUCCGGUGCCGGAGGGAAACCGUUAAGUCCGCCGCCUGGGGAGUACGGCCGCAAGGCUGAAACUUAAAGGAAUUGGCGGG